CAGCAGUGGGGAAUAUUGCACAAUGGGCGCAAGCCUGAUGCAGCAACGCCGUGUGAGUGAAGAAGGUUUUCGGAUCGUAAACUCUGUCCUAAGGGAAGAAACAAAUGACGGUACCUUAGGAGGAAGCCCCGGCUAACUACGUGCCAGCAGCCGCGGUAAUACGUAGGGGGCAAGCGUUAUCCGGAAUCACUGGGCGUAAAGGGUGCGUAGGCGGCUUAGCAAGCCAGGGGUGAAAGGCAUUGGCUCAACCAAUGUAAGCCUUUGGAACUGUUAGGCUUGAGUGCAGGAGAGGUAAGUGGAAUUCCUAGUGUAGAGGUGAAAUUCGUAGAUAUUAGGAGGAACACCAGUGGCGAAGGCGACUUACUGGACUGUAACUGACGCUGAUGCACGAAAGCGUGGGUAGCGAACAGGAUUAGACACCCUGGUAG
rnacentral:rRNA from 1 species